rnacentral:rRNA from 1 species
AUGAACGCUAGCUACAGGCUUAACACAUGCAAGUCGAGGGGCAGCAUUUCAGUUUGCUUGCAAACUGGAGAUGGCGACCGGCGCACGGGUGAGUAACACGUAUCCAACCUGCCGAUAACUCGGGGAUAGCCUUUCGAAAGAAAGAUUAAUACCCGAUAGUAUAAUUAGACCGCAUGGUCUUAUUAUUAAAGAAUUUCGGUUAUCGAUGGGGAUGCGUUCCAUUAGGCAGUUGGUGAGGUAACGGCUCACCAAACCUUCGAUGGAUAGGGGUUCUGAGAGGAAGGUCCCCCACAUUGGAACUGAGACACGGUCCAAACUCCUACGGGAGGCAGCAGUGAGGAAUAUUGGUCAAUGGGCGCAGGCCUGAACCAGCCAAGUAGCGUGAAGGAUGACUGCCCUAUGGGUUGUAAACUUCUUUUAUAUGGGAAUAAAGUUUUCCACGUGUGGAAUUUUGUAUGUACCAUAUGAAUAAGGAUCGGCUAACUCCGUGCCAGCAGCCGCGGUAAUACGGAGGAUCCGAGCGUUAUCCGGAUUUAUUGGGUUUAAAGGGAGCGUAGGUGGACAGUUAAGUCAGUUGUGAAAGUUUGCGGCUCAACCGUAAAAUUGCAGUUGAUACUGGCUGUCUUGAGUACAGUAGAGGUGGGCGGAAUUCGUGGUGUAGCGGUGAAAUGCUUAGAUAUCACGAAGAACUCCGAUUGCGAAGGCAGCUCACUGGACUGCAACUGACACUGAUGCUCGAAAGUGUGGGUAUCAAACAGGAUUAGAUACCCUGGUAGUCCACACAGUAAACGAUGAAUACUCGCUGUUUGCGAUAUACAGUAAGCGGCCAAGCGAAAGCAUUAAGUAUUCCACCUGGGGAGUACGCCGGCAACGGUGAAACUCAAAGGAAUUGACGGGGGCCCGCACAAGCAGUGGAGUAUGUGGUUUAAUUCGAAGCAACGCGAAGAACCUUACCAGGUCUUGACAUCCUACUAACGAGAUAGAGAUAUGUUAGGUGCCCUUCGGGGAAAGUAGAGACAGGUGGUGCAUGGUUGUCGUCAGCUCGUGCCGUGAGGUGUCGGCUUAAGUGCCAUAACGAGCGCAACCCUUAUCUUUAGUUACUAACAGGUCAUGCUGAGGACUCUAGAGAGACUGCCGUCGUAAGAUGUGAGGAAGGUGGGGAUGACGUCAAAUCAGCACGGCCCUUACGUCCGGGGCUACACACGUGUUACAAUGGGGGGUACAGAAGGCAGCUACCUGGUGACAGGAUGCUAAUCCCAAAAGCCUCUCUCAGUUCGGAUCGAAGUCUGCAACCCGACUUCGUGAAGCUGGAUUCGCUAGUAAUCGCGCAUCAGCCAUGGCGCGGUGAAUACGUUCCCGGGCCUUGUACACACCGCCCGUCAAGCCAUGAAAGCCGGGGGUACCUGAAGUACGUAACCGCAAGGAGCGUCCUAGGGUAAAACUGGUGAUUGGGGCU